rnacentral:rRNA from 1 species
UACUCCUACGGGAGGCAGCAGUGGGGAAUAUUGGACAAUGGGCGAAAGCCUGAUCCAGCCAUGCCGCGUGUGUGAAGAAGGUCUUCGGAUCGUAAAGCACUUUAAGUUGGGAGGAAGGGCAGUAAAUUAAUACUUUGCUGUUUUGACGUUACCGACAGAAUAAGCACCGGCUAACCCUGUGCCAGCAGCCGCGGUAAUA